AUUGAACGCUGGCGGAAUGCUUUACACAUGCAAGUCGAACGGUAGAGGGGGCAACCCCUUGAGAGUGGCGAACGGGUGAGUAAUAUAUCGGAACGUGCCCAGUCGUGGGGAUAACGUAGCGAAAGUUACGCUAAUACCGCAUACGAUCUAAGGAUGAAAGCGGGGGACUCGCAAGAGCCUCGCGCGAUUGGAGCGGCCGAUAUCAGAUUAGGUAGUUGGUGGGGUAAGGGCUCACCAAGCCAACGAUCUGUAGCUGGUCUGAGAGGACGACCAGCCACACUGGAACUGAGACACGGUCCAGACUCCUACGGGAGGCAGCAGUGGGGAAUUUUUGGACAAUGGACGCAAGUCUGAUCCAGCCAUUCCGCGUGCAGGAUGAAGGCCCUCGGGUUGUAAACUGCUUUUGUACGGAACGAAAAGGUUUCUAUUAAUACUAGGAGCUCAUGACGGUACCGUAAGAAUAAGCACCGGCUAACUACGUGCCAGCAGCCGCGGUAAUGUG
rnacentral:rRNA from 1 species